GUCUGAAUAGGGCGCUUAGUCAGAUGCUGCAGACCCGAAACGAAGUGAUCUAUCCAUGAGCAAGUUGAAGCUAGUGUAAGAACUAGUGGAGGACUGAACCCAUAGGCGUUGAAAAGCCCCGGGAUGACUUGUGGAUAGGGGUGAAAGGCCAAUCAAACUUCGUGAUAGCUGGUUCUCUCCGAAAUAUAUUUAGGUAUAGCGUUGUGUCGUAAUAUAAGGGGGUAGAGCACUGAAUGGGCUAGGGCAUACACCAAUGUACCAAACCCUAUCAAACUCCGAAUACCUUAUAUGUAAUCACAGCAGUCAGGCGGCGAGUGAUAAAAUCCGUCGUCAAGAGGGAAACAACCCAGACUACCAGCUAAGGUCCCUAAAUCUUACUUAAGUGGAAAACGAUGUGAAGUUACUUAAACAACCAGGAGGUUGGCUUAGAAGCAGCCAUCCUUUAAAGAAAGCGUAAUAGCUCACUGGUCUAGUGAUUUUGCGCGGAAAAUAUAACGGGGCUAAAGUAAGUACCGAAGCUGUAGACUUGCGCACAACUUAGAUUAUUUAAGUUUAGAAUAUGAGAAACUAAGUUAUAUGUUUAGUUAUAUUUUUACUGAUUUUUAUAGAGUAAAGAUAGAAAUAAAACUUAGUAAAAUCAGUAAAAAUAUUCUUAGACUAAAGUUAAGUAGUUUAAGUUGUGUGCAAGUGGUAGGAGAGCGUUCUAUUUGCGUCGAAGGUAUACCGGUAAGGAGUGCUGGAGCGAAUAGAAGUGAGCAUGCAGGCAUGAGUAGCGAUAAUUAAUGUGAGAAUCAUUAACGCCGUAAACCCAAGGUUUCCUACGCGAUGCUCGUCAUCGUAGGGUUAGUCGGGUCCUAAGUCGAGUCCGAAAGGGGUAGACGAUGGCAAAUUGGUUAAUAUUCCAAUACCAACAUUAGUGUGCGAUGGAAGGACGCUUAGGGCUAAGGGGGCUAGCGGAUGGAAGUGCUAGUCUAAGGUCGUAGGAGGUUAUACAGGCAAAUCCGUAUAACAAUACUCCGAGAACUGAAAGGCUUUUUGAAGUCUUCGGAUGGAUAGAAGAACCCCUGAUGCCGUCGAGCCAAGAAAAGUUUCUAAGUUUAGCUAAUGUUGCCCGUACCGUAAACCGACACAGGUGGGUGGGAUGAGUAUUCUAAGGCGCGUGGAAGAACUCUCUUUAAGGAACUCUGCAAAAUAGCACCGUAUCUUCGGUAUAAGGUGUGGUUCGCUUCGUAUUAGGAUUUACUCCGAAAGCGAAGAAACUUACAACAAAGAGUCCCUCCCGACUGUUUACCAAAAACACAGCACUCUGCUAACUCGUAAGAGGAUGUAUAGGGUGUGACGCCUGCCCGGUGCUCGAAGGUUAAUUGAUGGGGUUAGCAUUAGCGAAGCUCUUGAUCGAAGCCCGAGUAAACGGCGGCCGUAACUAUAACGGUCCUAAGGUAGCGAAAUUCCUUGUCGGUUAAAUACCGACCUGCAUGAAUGGCGUAACGAGAUGGGAGCUGUCUCAAAGAGGGAUCCAGUGAAAUUGUAGUGGAGGUGAAAAUUCCUCCUACCCGCGGCAAGACGGAAAGACCCCGUGGACCUUUACUACAGCUUGACACUGCUAUUUGGAUAAGAAUGUGCAGGAUAGGUGGGAGGCUUUGAGUAUAUGACGCCAGUUGUAUAUGAGCCAUUGUUGAGAUACCACUCUUUCUUAUUUGGGUAGCUAACCAGCUUGAGUUAUCCUCAAGUGGGACAAUGUCUGGUGGGUAGUUUGACUGGGGCGGUCGCCUCCCAAAUAAUAACGGAGGCUUACAAAGGUUGGCUCAGAACGGUUGGAAAUCGUUCGUAGAGUAUAAAGGUAUAAGCCAGCUUAACUGCAAGACAUACAAGUCAAGCAGAGACGAAAGUCGGUCUUAGUGAUCCGGUGGUUCUGCGUGGAAGGGCCAUCGCUCAAAGGAUAAAAGGUACCCCGGGGAUAACAGGCUGAUCUCCCCCAAGAGCUCACAUCGACGGGGAGGUUUGGCACCUCGAUGUCGGCUCAUCGCAUCCUGGGGCUGGAGCAGGUCCCAAGGGUAUGGCUGUUCGCCAUUUAAAGCGGUACGCGAGCUGGGUUCAGAACGUCGUGAGACAGUUCGGUCCCUAUCUGCCGUGGGCGUAAGAAGAUUGAAGAGAUUUGACCCUAGUACGAGAGGACCGGGUUGAACAAACCACUGGUGUAGCUGUUGUUCUGCCAAGAGCAUCGCAGCGUAGCUAAGUUUGGAAAGGAUAAACGCUGAAAGCAUCUAAGCGUGAAGCCAACUCUAAGAUGAAUCUUCUCUAAGCUCUCUAGAAGACUACUAGUUUGAUAGGCUGGGUGUGUAAUGGAUGAAAGUCCUUUAGCUGACCAGUACUAAUAGAGCGUUUGGCUUAUCUUUAAUAAAGCAU
rnacentral:rRNA from 1 species